AAGAAACUGAGGCUCAGAGAGGAAAGUGGCUUCCCAGGUCAUCCUGCCUACCAGUGGCACAGCUGGGCUUGAUGCAUUGCUCUUGCAGGUGUAAGGUUGGAGCGCUCUCUCCUGAUUCUGCAAUGGCUGGAGUGGGACAGCUUCCUGGUAUCAGCUGUUUCCUCUUUCUCUUCCAGGGAGGAUUCGCAUGUGUUCUGACAAUGGCUCCAGGUGCGUGGGCACACUGAGCUUGGCGUUGGCUACCACAACCAUCAUUGCCAACCUCCUGCUAUACUUUCCCAGUGGGCAGGUGCUGGAGCCUGCCAAGAUCACAGACUUCGUCUGGGUUUUCCAUGGCUUUAUUGGAGCUGGACUCUUGCAGGGACAACUACUUAUUCAACCAACCCACCCGGGCAAUCACCAAGAGUCUGUGCAUAUCGUUCUCUGGAACGCGGUCUUUCCAUCCUCCUGAGGACUGGUGCUGUGGAAGCUGUGCUUUGCCUUAGCCAAGCUGUCAGUGGACUCUGCAGCCACUGCAGACUCUUCUGUGGUACAUGCAUCCAAAAAGGACAUAUUGGUGCUGCUUGGACAUUUCCCAUCAUUUCCCCUUGACCUAUCCCUUGCUGUUUCUCUGCUGCCCUAACUCCACACUCCCAGAGGUAAGCCAGUAACUGUGAAAUGUCUUUUGAAAUGGAGAAUUUCAUUUGGCCACUUUUGGCUUAAUUGGGUAAACAUAAUAGCUUAUGGCCAGCCUGAAGAAAUCACAACUUAUCGAGAGAUGCAAAACAGUUUCCCAUGGUUCAGAAUAACUGGAUUUAGUAAAUGUCAAUUCCCACAGUUCUUAGAAGCUGAGAAAAAAAAUCAACUUUCUUACCAGGGCUGAUAUUUAUAAAGGUCAACAGCUUUGAAAACUUAAUCUUCUUUGUUAGACUCAAGAUCAUCAUUCCCCCCAAAUGAUAUCUAAAAAUGACAUAAGAAGUCAUUGGGCUUUAUGAUAAUUAAAAAAAUAAUUAUGAUGAUGAUAAUGAUAGACACUCACAUUUAUUGAGUUGUUACUAUAUCCCAGGCCCCGUGCUAAACACUUUAUCUAUAGUAUUUCAAUUAAUCCUCUGAAACAAGUAGCAUUAUAUUACUGUCUCACAGAUGAGGAAAUUCAGGCUCAGAGAGGCUUAGUUACUUAUCCAAAGUCAACAAAUCUAAGUCUUGAGCCCGAUUCUGGCAUUUAUAUUCUUGACCACUCUCCAGUGGUUCUCAAAGUUUAUUGCUUAGACAGUAGUUCUAUGGAUUGUAUUUCAGUUCAUCCUAUGAAGCAAGGAUGAACUGAAAUACAACUGAGACAGAGGGUUUCUCAGCUCUAGUGCCCCAUUUCUUGUCUACUUGGGAAACAAAACAGGGACACCUACCUAGUCCGGCAGCCCAUCGUGCUGCUGGGCCUAUCAUGCUACUGCUCUUUCUCCCACCUGGUACUACUAGAGGAAACCUGUGGGAAUGUCACCACAGACUUUACAAAUGUAUCUCCCAUUUGACAAACAAGAAAGGAAAACCCCAGAGAGACUGAGUGACUGCCCAAAUUCAUGUGGCUCUCACUUUAGAGCUGGAAGGCAUGUUUAGGAUGGCAGCUGAUCUUUGAGCAACACAGGGAUUGGGCGCAAACCUAAUAAUAGAUGUUAUUCAUUUAUCAAAGAAAAAAGGAGGGGAGGCUUUAGCCAAAUAAAUUUGGGAUCACUGGAUUAAAACAAAGUUUAUAGGUUUCUCUACUGCAAGACUUGGGAACUUUUACAAAGCGGGUACAUUACUAAUCUCCAGGAAAAGAAAAGCAAACGCACAAUGCCCCAGUCUUGUUUAACCACAAAAACCAUUUUCUCCUGGGACAAUUUUUAUGGAGCUAACACCCCAUGGGCACACUUUAAGAAAUAUUGUAUGACUCACAGUAAUGGGGUAGAACCCACCACAUUUAACCCUUAAGAAUCCAACAGGCUUUUUUAAACACCAAAGAAGCAAAGAAUCAUGGGAUAAAACAGGUUAAAAGCUACUCAUCUAUGUUUUCUAAAAAAUUAAAAAGCUUUGCUGUAAUAGCUGGAAUCAGAAGGGCUUUUCCAGAUUUUUGUCAUAAUUAUUUGCCGUGAUUACAACAAACGUUUUUCAGAACUUAAUGAAUGGGUAGAAGCUAUGGCAGUUCUUAAAGAGUUACCAGACAAUGUCCCUGCUUCAAGAAGCUUGUAAACUAAUAUAUCUUGCAGUGCUGACUGUUUCCAUAGCAAAACCUAGGGUUUCUGCUAGCCCAAAUAGCACCUUUGCUCAAACUGGAGGAGAAAAAGAAAAAAACUUGGAGAACAUAGCUUGGCAAGCAGACAGAACCACUGGCAAUUUUUUAAAGGUUCCCUUUCCUUCAGGCUGAUGAAGCCCAUACUGGGUUGAAGAGUGUCCCCUAAAAAUCCUGUUCAAACAGAACCUCGGAAUGUGACCUUGUUUGGAAAUCGGGUCUUUGUGGAGGCAAUUAGUUAAAAUAAGAUCAUACUGGAUUAGGGAUGGCCCCAAAUCUAAUAUAACUAGCAUUGUUAUAAGAAGAGGAAAAGAAAUACACACAGGUACAAAAGAAAGUCCUGUGAAAACAAAGGCAGAGAUUAAAGGAUGCUACCACAACCAAGGAAUGCUAAAGAUUUCUGGUAGCCGCCAGAAGCUAAGAACAGAUUCUCCCUCUGAGCCUCCAGAAUCCAGAUGACCUCUUGAUUUCAGACUUCUGGCCUCCAAACCUGUGAGCGAAUAAAUGUGUUGUUUUAAGGCACCCGGUUGGUGACAGUUCGUGACAGCAGCCACAGGAAACUGAUACCCAGCCCCAUGGCAGGCAUAGGUCAGCCUGGCACAGGCUGGAUCUCAGCCCCUGACUCAGGCCCUGGAUGCUCUCUGCCUUGCCCAGAAACAUCCUGCUCAACAAAACAGGGUGGCCCUGCUGAAGACGCAAAUGCCCAACAGUGCUGCCAACUCUAGAUACUUCUGUAGCUCCCCUUUAGCUCUCCCUCUGGCACGAAACCAGACACAGACUACCCAGAAGAUGAACUGAGCACUCUGCAAUGGGCCCAGUACGCUACUGCACCUGAGAUCAUCCUCUUGGCCCUAACAACCCUGGGGGGCUGUUCUCUCUCGUGGGGGAAAUUGUGCCUAGGGAAAGGACAUCUUUAGAACAGUCAGCCCACCAAGCAGAAUGACUCUAUGCAGCCCGAAUACUGUUUCCCCAGGAGGAGAAAAAUCCAAAGCAUAAACUUUUAUAAGCUUUUUUAAAUUAAAACACUCUUUGUAAAGUGACGGGUUCGAAGCAAGGGAGGAGAAAGGUUUUCUGGCAAAAAGUGGUGUUCCUUUGGUGAGCAAAAGGAACUCAACUGAUGAAAACACCAAAGCACAAACAUUCUGUGGCCAGCAAAGUGGGUGGAGGGGGCAAUGGAGACAACCUCAGGCAGGGCCCAGCUUGUAACGCUGGCAGGGCUCUGUUAAUGUGCUCCAUAAAGGGCUUUGGAGGGCAGGAGGAGCACCACCAACAUUUUAAAUGUCAGGCCAACCAUAAAACAAUUCAUGAUUAGUCCACUAAAACGUGUUUAUUAGCAAAUAGAAAAUAAGCAGGAGCAGCUGAUUUUCAAGGCUGACUUAGGGCUACUAUUCAGCUACUCAACAAUUAUAUCCUAGCCAGGUGCAGUGGCUCACGCCUAUAAUCCCAGCACUUUGGAGGCUGAAGCAAGAGGCGAAAAGUUCGAGACCAGCCUAGGCAACCUAGCGAGACCCCAUCUCUAUGAAAAAUUUAAAAAUUAGCCUGGCAUGUGGCUUGUGCCUGUGGUCCCAGCUACUCAGGUAGCUGAGGUGAGAGGAUCAUUUGAGCCCCAGAGGUUGAGGCUACAUUGAGCUGUGAUCGCACCACUGUACUCCAGUCUGGGUGACAGCGUGAAACCCUGUCUCAAGAAAAAACUAAAAGUAAAACAAACAACAACAAAAACACAAUUGUUUCCUGAGUUCCUACUAUUUGCAAAGCAAAAGUGCCUGGAGACAGGAGGGAUCAAGGGGCUUCAGUUUAAAAGAAAGGGUUUAAGUGGAGGGAAAAGUCUCAGAGCACAACACCCAGACAUAAGGCAGAAAUGGAGGAGGUGGAAUUUCCACUUCAAUCUCUGUGUCUUUAAGCAUAUCUCAUCUUUUAAAAUUCCUUACUCUCAUUAAAAAGACAAAAUUUAAAGAUCUUAAUUCAUCAUUCUAGAAUCGGGCAGCUCUCAGAACCAGAGCACGUUCAAAGGACUCCAAUCUGCCACGUAGUCAGACAGCGCUGAUGAACAGAAAAUGCAAAUGAGGUACAGAAAUGGAAGUGAGGUAUGGAGACAGCCCGAUUGGUUACUGCUUGGGGUUUGCCGUAUUUGAACUUGGUCUGAACAGUUGGCUGCCUGUGAUUGAAUGAAGCUCAGCUGCUAUGAUUGGCUGAGACUCCACUAUGUGUUUCCAGUUAGUUUAUGUAUUAAGUUAGGCUGCAGUGUGUUAUGUGAGGACUCCUGUAUGGAGACAUCCUCAGGUCAAAUUUAGUUUAAUUUAACACUCAAAAGAAACCACAUGUUUUCCAGACCAGAGUUGACUGAUAUUCAUUCUUCUCCAACUCUCCAUUCUGGUACCGGUUUAUAACACCAUUGAUUACCAUC
ensembl:lncRNA